GACAGAGGGUGCAAACGUUGUUCGGAAUUACUGGGCGUAAAGCGCGUGUAGGCGGCUCGGCAAGUCGGGUGUGAAAGCCCUGGGCUUAACCUAGGAAGUGCACUCGAAACUGCCAAGCUUGAGUUCUGGAGAGGAAGGCGGAAUUCUCGGUGUAGAGGUGAAAUUCGUAGAUAUCGGGAGGAACACCAGUGGCGAAGGCGGCUCUCUGGGCAGAUACUGACGCUGAGACGCGAAAGCGUGGGUAGCAAACAGG
rnacentral:rRNA from 1 species